GACACGGUCCAGACUCCUACGGGAGGCAGCAGUAGGGAAUCUUCCGCAAUGGGCGAAAGCCUGACGGAGCAACGCCGCGUGAGUGAUGAAGGUCUUCGGAUCGUAAAACUCUGUUAUUAGGGAAGAACAAGGAUGUAAGUAACUGUGCAUCCCUUGACGGUACCUAAUCAGAAAGCCACGGCUAACUACGUGCCAGCAGCCGCGGUAAUACGUAGGUGGCAAGCGUUAUCCGGAAUUAUUGGGCGUAAAGCGCGCGUAGGCGGUUUUUUAAGUCUGAUGUGAAAGCCCACGGCUCAACCGUGGAGGGUCAUUGGAAACUGGAAAACUUGAGCGCAGAAGAGGAAAGUGGAAUUCCAUGUGUAGCGGUGAAAUGCGCAGAGAUAUGGAGGAACACCAGUGGCGAAGGCGACUUUCUGGUCUGCAACUGACGCUGAUGUGCGAAAGCGUGGGGAUCAAACAGGAUUAGAU
rnacentral:rRNA from 1 species